GACGUAGGGGGCCAGCGUUGUUCGGAAUUACUGGGUGUAAAGGGUUCGUAGGCGGCUCAGUAAGUCAGGUGUGAAACCUCCAGGCUCAACCUGGAGACGCCACCUGAUACUGCUGUGGCUAGAGUCCGGUAGGGGAGCGUGGAAUUCCUGGUGUAGCGGUGAAAUGCGCAGAUAUCAGGAGGAACACCAGCGGCGAAGGCGGCGCUCUGGGCCGGAACUGACGCUGAGGAGCGAAAGCGUGGGUAGCAAACAGG
rnacentral:rRNA from 1 species